rnacentral:rRNA from 1 species
UACGGAGGAUGCGAGCGUUAUCCGGAUUUAUUGGGUUUAAAGGGUGCGUAGGCGGGAUGCCGAGUCAGCGGUAAAAAUGCGGUGCUCAACGCCGUCGAGCCGUUGAAACUGGCGUUCUUGAGUGGGCGAGAAGUAUGCGGAAUGCGUGGUGUAGCGGUGAAAUGCAUAGAUGUCACGCAGAACUCCGAUUGCGAAGGCAGCAUACCGGCGCCCUACUGACGCUGAGGCACGAAAGCGUGGGUAUCGAACAGG